UGGGGAAUAUUGCACAAUGGGGGGAACCCUGAUGCAGCAACGCCGCGUGAGUGAAGAAGGCAUUCGUGUCGUAAAACUCUGUAGUAGGGGAAGAAAGAAAUGACAGUACCCUAAAAGAAAGCCCCGGCUAACUACGUGCCAGCAGCCGCGGUAAUACGUAGGGGGCAAGCGUUAUCCGGAAUAACUGGGCGUAAAGGGUGCGCAGGUGGUUUAACAAGUUAGUGGUGAAAGGCAUAGGCUCAACCAAUGUAAGCCAUUAAAACUGUUUAACUUGAGUGCAGGAGAGGAAAGUGGAAUUCCUAGUGUAGCGGUGAAAUGCGUAGAUAUUAGGAGGAAUACCAGUGGCGAAGGCGACUUUCUGGACUGCAACUGACACUGAGGCACGAAAGCGUGGGGAGCAAACAGGAUUAGAUACUCUGGUAGUCCACGCCGUAAACGAUGAGUACUAGGUGUCGGGUGAAGAACUCGGUGCCGAAGUUAACACAUUAAGUACUCCGCCUGGGGAGUACGCUCGCAAGAGUA
rnacentral:rRNA from 1 species